rnacentral:rRNA from 1 species
UACGGAGGAUGCAAGCGUUAUCCGGAAUCAUUGGGCGUAAAGGGUCCUGAGGUGGCCUGCCCAGUCCGCUGUGAAAGAUCAGGGCUCAACCCUGAAUAUGCGGUGGAAACUAGCAGGCUAGAAUACGGUAGGGGCAGGGGGAAUUCCCGGUGUAGCGGUGAAAUGCAUAGAUAUCGGGAAGAACACCAACGGCGAAGGCACCCUGCUGGGCCGAUAUUGACACUGACAGACGAGAGCUAGGGGAGCGAAUGGG